UAGGGAAUAUUAGAAAUGGACGAAAGUCUGAUCUAGCAACACCGCGUGUGCGAAGAAGGCCUUCGGGUCGUAAAGCACUUUUUGGAAGGAAUAGGAAGGAAUGUACUUCCAGAAUAAGUCUCGGCUAACUACGUGCCAGCAGCCGCGGUAACACGUAGGAGGCAAACGUUAUCCGGAUUUACUGGGCGUAAAGCGCGUGUAGGUGGUUCUGUAAGUAGGGCGUGAAAGCUCCUGGCUCAACUGGGAGAGGCCGUUCUAAACUACAGAACUAGAGGAUGGUAGAGGGAGGUGGAAUUCCAGGUGUAGCGGUGGAAUGCGCAGAUAUCUGGAGGAACACCAGUGGCGAAGGCGUCUCACCAGAACGGACCUGACGGCAAGGGACGAAAGCUAGGGGCACGAACC
rnacentral:rRNA from 1 species